UGUGGCUUGGAGUUUUCUAUCUGACUGUGAACAUGCUCAUAGCGGAUCUUAAGCUUGUGUAUUGGGGUCGUAUCUUGGAGUCUUGUAGACCGUCAUUACCUGCACGUAGGGAGGCUACAAAGGCUUUAGGACAGCGUCUUUGACGUGCUUUCACUAUACCAGGCUUGCUUUCUUAAUCUUAACUUGUUUUAUUUAUUUGUUUACUUGGCUCUUUAUUUUACUUUACUGUUUAAUAUUUAUUUUAUAUAUUAUUUAUAUCUAAAAUCUUUGAAUAAGAAUUUUAUAAAAAGGGAAAAACCACUAUUUU
rnacentral:lncRNA from 1 species